rnacentral:lncRNA from 1 species
GUAUUUCUUAUUCAAAACCACAACUCAAAAAUAAUUUCCAUGUCUUUUUUUAACACAGUACAAACACAAACGUUCGUAUCUCACUGAAUGCGCAUCGUUGAAAAUCAUAAAAUAAAUUUAGAAAUAAUAUAAGCAUCAUGACUUCAAACCUUGAUGGACUUCGGAUAUAGAUAUCCUUGCAACCAUCCAACCCACAGAUUCGCAAUUCACAUGUCAAAAGAAGGAUCAAUGUGCUAACUUUGCAUGUACCCGUUGCGUACUCAUUUGGUACACCAUGCACCAAAGUAGAUGCUCCCCACGCCAAAACAGCUCUAUAU